rnacentral:rRNA from 1 species
UGAAUACGAGACGCUACGGCGUCGAAGCAGUCUAUGUCAUACUUCCAAGAAAAGCUUGCACUGUCAUAAACAGAUAAUGCCUGUACCAUAACCGACACAGGUGGGUAGGUAGAGUAUACUAAGGGGCGCGAGAUAACUCUCUCUAAGGAACUCGGCAAAAUGACUCCGUAACUUCGGGAGAAGGAGUGCCUUAUUUAUAAGGUUGCAAUAACAAGAUCCAAGCAACUGUUUAUCAAAAACACAGGUCUCCGCUAAGUCGUAAGACGAUGUAUGGGGGCUGACGCCUGCCCAGUGCCAGAAGGUUAAAGAAGUUGGUUAGCAUUAGCGAAGCUGAUAACUGAAGCCCUGGUGAACGGCGGCCGUAACAAUAACGGUCCUAAGGUAGCGAAAUUCCUUGUCGGGUAAGUUCCGACCCGCACGAAAGGCGUAAUGAUUUGGAUACUGUCUCAGGGAGGGGCUCGGUGAAAUAGACUUGUCUGUGAAGAUGCGGACUACCUGCACCAGGACAGAAAGACCCUAUGAAGCUUUACUGUAACUUGAAAUUGAAAUUGGACUUUAUUUGCGCAGUAUAGGUGGGAGGCAUUGAUAAUAUUCUUGCGGGAAUGUUGGAGCCAUCAGUGAGAUACCACUCUUGUAAUGUUAGAUUUCUAACUUUGGAUCAUUAUCUGGUCAAAGGACAGUUUCAGGCGGGCAGUUUGACUGGGGCGGUCGCCUCCUAAAUGGUAACGGAGGCGCACAAAGGUUUCCUCUGAACGGGUAGAAAUCGUAUCUAGAGUGUAAAGGCAUAAGGAAGCUUGACUGUGAGACCUACAAGUCGAGCAGGGACGAAAGUCGGUCUUAGUGAUCUGACGGUGCUGAGUGGAAAGGCCGUCACUCAACGGAUAAAAGUUACUCUAAGGAUAACAGGCUGAUCUCCCCCAAGAGUUCACAUCGACGGGGAGGUUUGGCACCUCGAUGUCGGCUCAUCGCAUCCUGGGGCGGUAGUACGUCCCAAGGGUUGGGCUGUUCGCCCAUGAAAGCGGUACGCGAGCUGGGUUCAGAACGUCGUGAGACAGUUCGGUCCAUAUCCGGUGUAGGCGUUAGAAUAUUGAGAGGAGCCUUCUUUAGUACGAGAGGACCGAGAAGGACAUACCUCUGGUGUACCAGUUAUCGUGCCAACGGUAAACGCUGGGUAGCUAUGUAUGGAGAGGAUAACCGCUGAAAGCAUCUAAGUGGGAAGCCCACCUCAAGAUAAG